UACGUAGGGUGCGAGCGUUAAUCGGAAUUACUGGGCGUAAAGCGUGCGCAGGCGGUUUUGUAAGCCAGAUGUGAAAGCCCCGGGCUUAACCUGGGAAUGGCAUUUGGGACUGCAAGGCUUGAGUGCGGCAGAGGAGACUGGAAUUCCUGGUGUAGCAGUGAAAUGCGUAGAGAUCAGGAAGAACACCGGUGGCGAAAGCGUUCUGCUAGACCUGUACUGACACUGAGGGACGAAAGCUAGGGGAGCGAAUGGG
rnacentral:rRNA from 1 species